rnacentral:lncRNA from 1 species
GUUACGGGCUUAGCCCAAGUUAUCUUAGCUAUCUUAAGAGUCCAAGUUAUAUUAUAGUCCAAGUUAUAUUAUAGUCCAAGUUAUCUAGGGUUUAGUGGAGGCUGUCCUCCUAUAUAAACACAUGUACCCCUUUGAUAUUAAACAGACAAUAAUCAGUAUUCUGUUGUCGUCUCCCUCAGGAGACGGGAGCCCCAAACCCUAGCCGCCUCUCUCUCUCUCACGCCGCGACGGUGCCCAACCGCCGGCGCCGGCGUUCCCGGCCUCGCCGCCCGCACUUCCACCCCUACAACCUAUGUCCGAGACCUGUAGAACCCUAGCCUCUACCAUGGCUCUAAGGUUUGGAUUACUUCUUACACAGAGGAUGGGAUGCAACCGGCUUAUUAUUAACUCCGACAAUAUAGAAGUCAUUAAUACAAUGAAAAAUGGAGGACAAUCGGCGGGAGCAGUCUUCGAUGACUGCUAUUUUUUGGCUUGUGAUUUUCCUCUUACUAGAUUUGAACAUUGUAAUAGAGAAGCAAAUAAGGUGGCUCAUGAACUUGCUAGGAUAGCGAAAUUUUCCGUCACAAAGGAUUGUUUUGAGGAGCCCUUGGAUGAAAUUGUAAAUUUGCUUAUUGACGAUGUAACUGUUAUUCCCAAUUAAUAAAGUUAACGGUUUAUUUCAAAAAAAAAAACUCAAAUGCCAUACUAGAGAUGACAUUUUUUGCGGAACAUGGAUGGUACUUGGCAGGAGGUACAAAGGAGUGAAAAGCAAAUUGUAAAUAGUCAACAGCUCAUGUUCUAUGCUUACGAGAAUUCCCAGAUGGCCCGUUCUUACCAACGUUUCUAACUUUAUGUAAGUAAUAAUUCAUAUAAUCAAACAUCCAAUCUUGUUCAUUCUUUGUUAGAUGAGCCUAAGCUAACUGGUUUCAGUCUGAGCGAAUUUCAUGCAUCCCUAUCAAAUACCGAACGGUGGAGCAGUACAAGUAUAUAACACAACCAAGUACAAUACCAUAACGAUGUACUCCCUCCGUUCCUAAAUAUAAGUCAUACAGAGCAAAAUGGAUGAAUCUACACUUUAAAAUUUGUCUAUAUACAUCCGUAUGUGGUCCAUAAUGAAAUAUCUAAAAAGACUUAUGUUAAGAAACGGAGGGAGUAGAACUUACUGUAGAAUGGACACCAUCAGCCCAGCUCCCAAACCGCCAUUUCUGCACAACCAGCUUCCCUUCCUGCAGCUCCUCAUUAACACCUGUGAUGGACCCAUCAAAGAGGCUAAACUGCCCACCAACAUCCUUGCUGAUCCUCGCAUUGCUCUGUGUGAAACCCUUCCAUCUGUUCUCAUCCAUCAAGAUCUCAUAGAUGUCCUUGGAGCGGCAGUUGAACUUCUCCGUCAUCUCAAUAGUCUUGAAUCCUUCCUUAUCCUUGCCAUUCGCCUUCUUCUCCUUAGCUGCUGGCGCAUGCACUGGAGCUGCUGUCACAUUCACUGAAGGAGCGGGAGCAACAGCUGCGCCACCGGCCGCUGGGGCAGCCUUGGUGGAUAGCUUCUUAGAAUCUAUCUCGUCCUUUGCGGGGCCACCAUUCGCCAUGGCGGCGACAUACUCCCGGAUCUUGGCAAUGACCAGAGGCUUGCCAUGGGCGAUGAAGGCAUCCUUGGCCCGGCGCGCGAAGGGGCCGUCGUCACCGCGAACGGUGAUGCGGAGUUCGGGAUCCUCGUCGGCGUUCUCGUCAGCGAGGUAGGGUAACUCAACUGUACCAGUGACCUUGGCGACCCCCGACUCGGAUGCGGCAUCGGCCUCCCAGGCGAGCGUGAGGGAAAGCUCGUACCCUGGGAUAACCUUGCCCUUGCGGAUGUUGACGUAGGCCUCGCCAUCAAGCUUGUCGAGGGUGGUGGUGCGGAGGGUGAGGCCGCCCUCCCCGGAGAGGACGGGGAGGCCCGCGAGGAGCGCGGAGAGACGCGCGCGAGACCAUUCGAGACAGUCGCGCUCCGCCCAGUGCCAGUUGUGGACGUUGGCACCGUCGGCGCGCUCCUGCACGAUCCACCGUGCGUCGCCCUCGCCGAACUUCGCCAUGGUUNNNNNNNNNNNNNNNNNNNNNNNNNNNNNNNNNNNNNNNNNNNNNNNNNNNNNNNNNNNNNNNNNNNNNNNNNNNNNNNNNNNNNNNNNNNNNNNNNNNNGAAAAUAAACUAGUGCAAUCUCUACACGCAAAAAUACCAGUAACUGCUCUAAAAUACAUGGAAAAGUGGUUCCUAAAACAUGAAUAUUUCUACUACGGCAUUCGAGCAAUUCGAACACGCGCGGAAAAUAAAUGCGGGCACUUUCCUAUUGAGACAGCACGUAAAUCCAUGCAUACGGCACGCUAAACGACGUCAACCAAAUAUGCAAGUUGCACCAACGUAAUCUACGCGCAAAACUACACGAAAACCAUAUACUACACGUCGCGAUCCGACUUACGGACGAUCUAAUAUACGUAUACUUUCUCGAAUUUAUGAUAAUUCCGAAAAAUCCCUAAAAAGAAAAAUAACUAUCGGGCCUAAUCUAUUCACUAAUGGGCUACACAUGCAUGGACGCAGAUUAGCUAAAACGUGCACGAGCGUCAAAUAGAGGGCUCAGGGGGGAAUCAGCUCACCUUGCUUGGGCCGGCGUGGAGGUGGGCCUUGGGGUCGGUCUGGUGGGGAGGAGAAGCUGGGCCGAGGCGGUAGGAGGCCGGCCUGGGCUGCUGGGGCGCUCUGGGCCGCCGCUGGCCUGCUGGAGCUGGGCCUAGGCCAGCGCCUGGGCCGGACGGGGCAGAUCGGCCCCAGCCUGGCGCGCGGCACAGGAGUCUCGCGCGAGCUGCUCGCAAAAGGGAGCCAUGGCGGCGCUACAGGAGGACUCAGCGAGGCCGGCGGACGCAGGGAGAUUGGAACCGGUGGGGGCUCGCCGGAUGGAGCCGGCCCCAUGGAUUGCUGCGGGACAGAGAGAGGAAGAAGAAGUGAGAGAGAGAG